AUAAUCACUUGUUCUUUAAAUGAGGACUUGUAUCAACGGCAUCACGAGGGUUAAACUGUCUCCUUUUUCAUGUCAGUGAAACUAAUCUCCCCGUGAAGAAGCGGGGAUAACUUUAUAAGACGAGAAGACCCCAUGGAGCUUUAAACUUAACUACACCCCUCUUAAUUUUUCCAUUAAAUCCUAAGGACCCUGUACGUUCUGUUUUAGGUUGGGGUGACCGCGGAGCAUAAACUAGCCUCCACAAUGAAUAGAUCUCCUCUUUAUCCAAGACUUACACCUCUAAGAACUAGUAUUCUAACAUAAAAUGAUCCGACAUUCGAUCAACGAACCAAGUUACCCUGGGGAUAACAGCGCAAUCUACUUCAAGAGCUCCUAUCGACAAGUGGGUUUACGACCUCGAUGUUGGAUCAGGGUAUCCAAGUGGUGCAGCAGCUACUAAAGGUUCGUUUGUUCAACGAUUAAAACCCU
rnacentral:rRNA from 1 species